rnacentral:rRNA from 1 species
GACGAACGCUGGCGGCGUGCUUAACACAUGCAAGUCGAACGGAAAGGCCCUGCUUUUGUGGGGUGCUCGAGUGGCGAACGGGUGAGUAACACGUGAGUAACCUGCCCUUGACUUUGGGAUAACUUCAGGAAACUGGGGCUAAUACCGGAUAGGAGCUCCUGCUGCAUGGUGGGGGUUGGAAAGUUUCGGCGGUUGGGGAUGGACUCGCGGCUUAUCAGCUUGUUGGUGGGGUAGUGGCUUACCAAGGCUUUGACGGGUGGCCGGCCUGAGAGGGUGACCGGCCACAUUGGGACUGAGAUACGGCCCAGACUCCUACGGGAGGCAGCAGUGGGGAAUAUUGCACAAUGGGCGGAAGCCUGAUGCAGCAACGCCGCGUGCGGGAUGACGGCCUUCGGGUUGUAAACCGCUUUCGCCUGUGACGAAGCGUGAGGGACGGUAAUGGGUAAAGAAGCACCGGCUAACUACGU